UACGUAGGGUGCAAGCGUUAAUCGGAAUUACUGGGCGUAAAGCGUGCGCAGGCGGUUGUGCAGGACAGAUGUGAAAUCCCCGGGCUCAACCUGGGAACUGCAUUUGUGACUGCACGGCUGGAGUGCGGCAGAGGGGGAUGGAAUUCCGCGUGUAGCAGUGAAAUGCGUAGAUAUGCGGAGGAACACCGAUGGCGAAGGCAAUCCCCUGGGCCUGCACUGACGCUCAUGCACGAAAGCGUGGGGAGCAAACAGG
rnacentral:rRNA from 1 species